GGCACGUGUUUUCUUGGUCAAUAAAAGGACAGCCGAAAGGCCUAUUCAUUGUUUGGGCUUCUUGUCAGGGAACCCAAGUCUCCUCUCUCUUUAAGCUGCGACCGGCUCCACGCAGGACGUGGAGCGCUGUCGCGGACAUACCCCGACAAGUAGUGACCCCAACGUGAUCAAAGUCCGACGUGACAGAAGUGCGAGUCUACACAACGGAGCUGCAACUGCAGAAGGAGGAAAAAUAGAGCGCGCCAGGAGACUCAAGGAUCCCACCAGGACGGUACGGGACAGUGGACCUAUAUUAGACUCCACUGGUGCGGGAAUAACUCAAUAGAGAGGACAUGGGGAAUACUCUCCAGCCAGAGCAGAAGCAACAUAUUCAGUUUCUGCAAUGUGGAGUGCCAUCCUAAGAUCUCUCGACUCCACAUUUUUUGAAAACUUCUGAAGCAGGAACUCCUCUAGAAGAGAAGCAGGAGUGGUCAACAUCUUCCAUGUUCACAGGGUCAACAAAGGAAACUGCUGUUUUCCAGAUGGAGUACACAACCUAUUCUUAAGCCAUUCUCCCACAUGGAGAUUAAGAAACUACUUCAGUAAAUAAAUGGAACUCAUUUAAAGAAUGAGAACAUGAAGCAGGAUUAACUGGACAUAUAAAUGCUUUGCUACAGAUGUUCUUUGAGCUAGUUAGUAUUCCAGUCUUCCUAAACUCACCAACGUGGGAUACACGGCAGAUUUGUUUUCCAAAGAGAAAAAGAGAGAGAGAGAUUAACAAAAACUGAGGCAACAGAUAUGUGAAUGGAGACACCCUCUUGGGAGGACAUCCUUCAGUCACAGCUUCACAGCUACCCCAGCUGAUACCAACAAAGUCAUAGGUUCUCACAUGGGUGAUAUCAUGUUCACGAUUGGGCUGAUCUAAGCCAUAGGGGAAAAAGGGAAGAAGAGGCAGAGCUUUCUCUGGUUUAGCCUCUUGCUUAUAGUUUCAAGGUAAGUGAUUAAAGCCUUGACUGUUACUCUCAUUUUGGCUUGUUGUUUUAAUUGACAGCUGAGAACUCAGGGCUUUCUCUCCAGCUCAACUGAGCCCCUGACAUACGUUGAUAGUGAAGGUAGCUGAUUUUGUUUGUCAGGGUAUGUUUUGUUACGGUGUUUUAUAUUGAAAUGCCACCCCCUAAAUCUCAGUAGCCACAACAAUAAAAGAUUACUCCACACUCAGUUAACAUGGUCUUCAUGAGGUGUCAUGAUACGUCAACAUAAUCCCUGAGGGACCUGAACUGACAGAAGAGCUAACAUUUCAGCUUUGCUGGUUACUAAGUGACAGGCGAAGCAUGUCCUGGAGGAUCUUGCAUUAGCAAGAUUGUGACCCAGAACUAGCACUUAUCUCUUCUGCUCACACCCAGUCUUACUUAGUCACAAGGCCCCAUUCAACUCUAAAGGGGCCAAGGAAUACAGUCAUAUCAUAUCUGGAGUGGGAGGCAAUUCUUAAAACCACCUCUCUGAAAAUGGCUUUCUUAUUAAUAUCCGUUCCCUUCCCUUAGAAGCUGUAUUGCUUGCUUUCAGGAACUCCACAAUUUAUUCAAAUGAGGUUCCAUGGGUUCAAGUGAGUCAUUUUCUGAUUAAAUAUGAAGUACAAAGCAUCAUCCCCAAGUCUCAAUCCUCUUGUUAACACUGUGAUUAGCAAGGACUCAUGAUCAUGCAGUUGAGACAGAAAGCUUGCUGAAUUUCUUGUUGCAAAGAAUGAACUCAAAGCCAUUUCCUUUUCCCUGUUCGUGGUUACAUGGUAAAUGUUCAAGAUCCUUGGCUAGAGCAUCUGAUUGACUAGGUAUUAAUUAUCCCCGGAGGUGGAGAAAACGUUGGGAAAAAAGUUGAUCUAACGGAGGGACCUUUUGGGGACUCCCCUAAGAUUCUGCACUGUGAGGACAGGCACCUAAAUUAACAGCUCUAUCAAGGUUACACAAAUUGGGAAGCAGUGAUUCUCCAAAAGGCAAUUAUAGGUAGAAAUGAGAACUGAAACACAACAAAUAUCAACUAUUGCUAGGGAAUAAAAUUUGCUCAAGGCGAUCUUUUACUGACAAGUACAAGAUAUCCCUGAUUCAUUUACUGAAAAAGUGCAUUUUAAGACAAAACAUAUUUAGCAUGACCUUCCUUUUUCCUCUUCUCAAGGAGAAAUGAAUAAAGUAAUAGCCUACAGAAAAUUCUCCAUAUCCUUGAAGGCAGAGACUGCCUUGCUCAUUUUGGAAUGUCCCCCGUGACUUGCUCACUGACUAAAUUCUUGAGCCAAAGUUACUUCCUAUGAUGACAGCAGGUUAUUGGCAAAUCUCCACAGAAAUAUCAUCACAUUGAGGUUGAUACUAAAUUAGAACAAUGCUAUUUGGCUUGAUAGGAGUGGAAGCCAUUUUUCUGGCGUAUAAAUAGAUAUUGGUACCCUAUUGGUACCCUUCAAUAAACUGCCCUGAAAUCAUCAACUAUAUUAUUUUUUUCAGAAACUUGGUCAGAUAAAGAACUCUUUUAAAAUAUAAGGGAGAGUUCCUGCUGUGGCACAAGUGAGUUAAUGAUCUGGCUUGUCUCUGAGGAGACACAGGUUGGAUCCCCUGCUCAGUGCAGUGGAUUAAGGAUCCAGUGUUACUGCAGCUGUGGUGUAGGUUGCAGCUCUGGAUCAGAUUCUGUCCUUAGCCUGGGAACUUACAUAUGCCUUGGGUGUGGCC